AAUUUUUUGUUUGUGUCUUAACAAAACUUAACCUCUGUGUGGAGAUGAUACUUUGAAAAUGCACAUUGCAAAAAUUCUGACUACUAUCAAAUGUACCACUCUGAUAGAACAGCAGUUUACAUAUGGCAAAAUUGACCUGGGGUUUGGAACAAAGGUAGCAGAUUCUGAAUUAUGUAAACUUGCUGCUGAUGUAAUUUUGAAAACUCUUGAUUUGAUGAACAAACUUAAACAGUUGGUUCCUGGUAUGGAAGUAAGUUUCUACAAAAUCCUUCAGGAUCCUCGUUUGAUUACUCCUUUGGCUUUUGCUUUAACAUCAGAUAAUAGAGAACAAGUACAAUCUGGAUUGGGAAUAUUAUUGGAAGCUGCUCCACUGCCAGACUUUCCUGCAUUGGUACUUGGAGAAAGUAUAGCAGCAAAUAAUGCAUAUAGACAACAGGAAACAGAACAUAUGCCCAGAAGAAUGCCUUUGCAAUCUUUAAGUCACAGUUUUCCAACAUCAGUAAAGUGUUUAACACCUCCCCUUUUGAAAGAUAAUGUUCCUGGGUUGAACAUUGAGGAAUUAAUAGAGAAACUUCAAUCUGGAGUAAUGGUCAAUGAUCAGAUAAAUGAUGUGAGAAUAUCUGAUAUAAUGGAUGUUUAUGAGAUGAAACUCUCCACAUUAGCUUCCAAGGAAAGCAGAUUACAAGAUCUCUUGGAAGCCAAAGCUCUAGCUCUUGCACAAGCUGAUAGACUGAUUGCUCAGUAUCGCUGUCAAAGAACUCAAGCUGAAACAGAGGCACGAACACUUGCUGGUAUGUUAAGAGAAGUUGAAAGAAAAAAUGAAGAACUUAGUGUAUUACUGAAGUCACAACAAGUUGAGUCAGAAAGAGCCCAAAGUGAUAUCGAGCAUCUCUUUCAGCAUAAUAGGAAGUUAGAGACUGUGGCCGAAGAACAUGAAAUACUGACAAAAUCUUACAUGGAACUUCUUCAGAGAAAUGAAACUACUGAACAGAAGAAUAAAGAUUUGGAGAUCACAUGUGAUUCCCUGAAUAAACAAAUUGAGACAGUGAAAAAGUUGAAUGAGUCACUCAAGCAACAAAAUGAAAAAACUAUUACCCAAUUGCUAGAAAAAGAAGAACAGAGAAAAGAAGUCCAAAACCAGUUAGUAGAUAGAGAAUGUAAAUUAG
rnacentral:lncRNA from 1 species